GGGGAAAAGGUCUAAAUGAAGUUAAAAUACUAAGUAAGAUAAGCCUUUUUUUGUCAUGCAGCUGAGAAGUCAUUUGAAAUGUAGCUAUAGUGUCAUUGAUCUUGCUUUGCUGGAAGAUUAGACAAACCAUGCUCUGUGCAGAGAACGUGUUUUCAAAGAGCGCUGGUCUGUUUAGUGAGAGCACAGAAUGGCUUAUCAGUCAGUACUGCUUUCUUUUUCCAUGAUUUCGGUGAGGACAUUAUACAUUCACGUGAUUUAUAAAGGGAGGUGUUGUCACCAUAUAUGGUUUAUUGGAGGUGUUUCUGAAUGCAAAUGACCAUGAACCUCGUUUUUUAAGUCUACAUCUGGGCACGAUGAGUAGACAGAGAUCACUGGAUCUCAAUGUUCUGCACGAGUGAAUCAGAUCGCUGCUCUACUGGAGGUUAAACACUUUCAACUCAACACACUGACUCUGAAGAACAACUGUAUCACAGAAGGAGGGUGUCAUGUUCUGGCUGCAGCUCUAAAUUCAAACCCUUCAAAUCUGACAGAGCUGGAUCUGAGUGAGAAUAAACUAGGAAACCCAGGAAUGAAGAUCAUCUUGACUCUGUUUGAAAAUGUACAGUGUAGACUGGAAAAGCUGAAAUGAUUUGAACAGAUUUCACCAGAUUUGUACAACAAAGUGUUUAUAACAGGGUUCGUACAAGGUGCUUGAAGUACUUGGAUUUGACUUUUUGAAAUGCAAGUCCUGGAAAACCCUUGAAAACAGCCAUAUUUUUGAGAAGUAACUUGAAAAAUACUUGAAUGUAUAAAGGGCAGUAUAUAUUAAAUUGGUGUUAUUUUUAGUUAACCAAAAUUAACAAUGCAGCGCAUGUGAUGUAAAUACAGAGCCGUUUCACCUGGCUUUUAGCAGCGCACGGGAUCUCACGAUUACUCAGAGGCAAAAAGCGGUCUCACGAUAUUAGUAUAAAGUUGUUUGUGGUAAACU
ensembl:lncRNA